CAUUGCUAUCAUUAUUGGUCACAUAUUGGGCUAUUGCUUCCUGCACCUCCUAGAUUUGCUUGCAUCCCAUAAAAGAAGUAAAAUCCUUCAAUGGACAAAAUUACCCUUACCGACUCUUAGCCCUUGUUUGGUGAAAUUGAAUGAAAAGAAAUAUUUUAAUUAAAAUAAUAUGAUGGAGUUAAAUGAUAGCCCAUCCCACAAGCUUCAACCCUAAAACCUCAUUUCCUAAACUUUGAUGGCGGAGCACCUCCCUUGCCUAGCUGCAACCUGAAGCACCUCUUUUCCAGCGUCAAUUGUCCAGCACCGCGUUGAAGGUUGGAGGACCACCGUGACCGCCGUUAAAACUUCGUAUCAGGUAUUCCAUGAGAAAAACCGUAGCUCUUGUGUGAGUUGUGUCCAAUAUUCUGACAUGAAAGAGAAUGUCAGUUUGAGUGAAGAUGAGAGAAGUGAUAAAUCAGAGAGUUUUGAUCAGAGCCAAGUGGAACCUAUUGUUUUUCAUCCAAGCAUUUGAAGCUCAAAAGGAAGCUUGAUGUGCCAGAAGUACUGAAAGUGCAUUUAAUUAGAAGAUAAGUUAAUUUAUUGAAAUACAAUUUCUCUCUUGCUUUGAUUAUGUGAUGCGAUUGGAUACCAUAUUAAAUAUAUUAUUGUCUGCACUCUGCAGAAUCUUGUCCCCAACGGAACAAAGGUAAUAUAAUGCUUUUUGAGUGUUUUUUUGUUUUUUUCAUUUUAAAGGUGUUGGUGGUGGGAGAAUAUGCAGAGUGUAUGGGAGAUGUUUUGUUGAAGCUCUAAGGCAUGAAAUGAAAUGGUUGAGCAAGAAAUGCAUAUAAUACAAGAUUACAAGUAACUGAAAGUUCCUACAAUAAAGUAGCCCCCGAUUUGGCUGUAACUUUGUAUUUAGCAUAGCACUCAGUUCUGUAUAGUAAUAUUCAGUUUUAACAUAUCAUGUUAACGUUUAAAUUGCAAUUUCUUUUCCCACUUUGUAUAUUCGAUGGACAUGGAACUUUUUAGUCUUAAAUUAAUACAAAUAGGCCAUUUAAAUCA